AUCGUACGACACUACUUUACUCAAAUGUCGUGUUUUGAAUAAAACAGAGCCUCAGAAUUUAAAAAAGGCGUGUGGUUUUUGUUUCAGAAUUUCCGACUGUGUAUAAAGAGUCUGACCAUGGUCCCCCGACGUAGUGCCCAGGAUGUGUUACGGUGUCAUAUCUGUGAGACCCCGGGUCCCCUUAUGUACUGUGACAUUUGUGACAUACAUCUGUGUAAAGCUUGUGUGGGGGAACAUCUUUUAGAUGAAUCCAAAGAACAUUCAGUGCUACCAUUACAAAAGCGAGGAAGUUCUAUUCGUUUCCCUAAAUGUCCAAAACAUUCUAAUAAACAGUGUGAAAUUCAUUGUGAACAAUGUGGCAUUCCUAUUUGCGCUCAAUGUAUUUUCUCUGGUGAACAUGAACAACAUAAAAAAUGUGACACUUUGCAAAUUAUAGAAAACCGAAAGGUUGUAUUAAAAAGAGAUUUACAAGAAUUAGAGAAAUACAUUUAUCCUAAAUACCAAGAACUUUCAAUUCAUAAUGCAGUUCAGAAAGAUGAGUUGAUUGAAAACUCAGAGAAAUUGACAAAAAAUAUCGAUAAACAAGGAGAUAGCUGGCGCAAAGAAAUAGACACCGUUAUCCAGAAAAUGAAGUUUGAUCUUAAAGAAAUGGAUUCCAAAUUCUUGGCUGUCUUAAAUGAGCAAGAAGUUGCAAUAACGCACACCCUUUCUAAAAUGACACAAAACAUUGCUGAUCUGAAGAAAUUACUAAACUCCAAUGAUGUCAGCAUUAUCACUGCCUACAAAUCCAAGAACGCUGAAUUCAGAAAUUUACCGCCUAAACUCACGGCUUCGUUACCAUGUUUCACUCCUCAUUUGAUCGACAAGGACCAUGUAUAUCGCCAGUUUGGGUCUCUGUCAGCGUUGUCUAUCACAGAAGAACAUGUCUACACAGUUGUUACUCCUGUUGACCAGCACUCCUCUCCAAAAAGGACAUUCAUUGACGAACCACGGAUUAUCACAGAAAUAAACACUGAGUUUGGAGGAUAUUCUAAUGAAUUAUUCAACGUGACCCCUCAGAGUGAUCAAGAUAUUUGGACGUGUGGUAGAAGCAAAAUAAUGCGACUUUUCAAUCUUCAAGGAGAUCUGGUGGAGUCGAUCCAAACUAAGUCAGGGAACAUACCAAAUGACAUAGCAGUGAAAAGGAGUGGGGAUCUAGUUUAUUCUGAUCAAAAUGAUAGAACUGUGAACAUAAUCAACAAUACACAGGUACAAGAAGUGAUCAGACUACAGGGUUGGAAACCUUUGAGUGUCUGCUGUGCAUCCUCUGAUGACAUCCUGGUUGUCAUGGUCAGUGACGAUAUAAAACAGACAAAGGUUGUACGUUACUAUGGCUUUAAUGAGAAACACAGCAUUCAAUACGAUGAUAGCGGACAACCUCUGUACUCAUCUGAAGAACAUUAUAAUACUAAAACAUAAAUGAAAACAGGAAUCUUGAUAUAUGCGUGUCUGACUUUGAUGCCGGUGCAAUAGUGGUAGUCAAUAAGGCUGGAAAACACCGGUUUACCUACACUGGUCCUCCCUCUACUACCAAAGAACCAUUUAAACCACUCGGCAUCACUACAGACAGCCAGGGUCGAAUCCUGACAGCAGACCGAUACAACGACUGCAUCCACAUCCUGGAUCAGGACGGACAGUUCCUCCGCUACAUUGACAACUGUCAUGUAUGGCGGCCAUGGGGUUUAUGUGUGGACACCAGAGACAAACUCUUUGUGUAAAUGGAUAAUAAACAUUUCAUUUAUCUUUAUUUUUUAUAAUGCAAAAUUUUAAAAUAACUUUAAGGAAGGAGUCUUAUCUGGUUUUCGACUUGUCAGAAGUAAAUUUGAUUAAAUGUGCAUGAAAUCGAGAUAAAGGAUAUUAAAAUAUCAUAU
rnacentral:sRNA from 1 species